AUGGAACCUUCAAAAACACAUGGAGCAACUGCGAAAAGAAAUGGCUGAGGAUAUACUAAAAAUGUCUGAGUUCAACAACUGCUACAUGUGUGCCACUGAUAAAGAACCUGGAUGUGGCCCAAAGACUGACUGGGUGGCGAAUCGCAUCUCUGCAUGUCUGGCAGACAUAUCAGUGUGGAUGACGGAUCACCACCUCAAGCUGAACCUCGGCAAGACGGAGCUGCUCUUCCUCCCGGGGAAGGACUGCCCGUUCCAUGAUCUCGCCAUCACGGUUGACAACUCCAUUGUGUCCUCCUCCCAGAGUGCUAAGAACCUUGGCGUGACCCUGGACAACACCCUGUCGUUCUCUACUAACAUCAAGGCACCCCAAUGGUGGAACAAGCUCCCUCACGACGCCAGGACAGCGGAGUCAAUCACCACCUUCCGGAGACACCUGAAACCCCACCUCUUUAAGGAAUACCUAG
rnacentral:lncRNA from 1 species